rnacentral:rRNA from 1 species
AACGAACGCUGGCGGCAGGCUUAACACAUGCAAGUCGAGCGCCCCGCAAGGGGAGCGGCAGACGGGUGAGUAACGCGUGGGAAUCUACCCAUCUCUACGGAAUAACGCAUGGAAACGUGUGCUAAUACCGUAUACGUCCUUCGGGAGAAAGAUUUAUCGGAGAUGGAUGAGCCCGCGUUGGAUUAGCUAGUUGGUGGGGUAAAGGCCUACCAAGGCGACGAUCCAUAGCUGGUCUGAGAGGAUGAUCAGCCACACUGGGACUGAGACACGGCCCAGACUCCGACGGGAGGCAGCAGUGGUGAAUAUUGGACAAUGGGCGCAAGCCUGAUCCAGCCAUGCCGCGUGAGUGAUGAAGGCCCUAGGGUUGUAAAGCUCUUUCACCGGUGAAGAUAAUGACGGUAACCGGAGAAGAAGCCCCGGCUAACUUCGUGCCAGCCGCCGCGGUAAUAC